CACUGCUGCUGGGCAUGCGCAUUGCUGCGCGUGUUCUGGGAGCCGAGCUGAGCUUCAUCCAGGCGGCGUGUUCUCUCUGCUGUGAGCUUUCUCGCUAGCUGAAUUCAACUGGGUGAACUAUGAGUGGCCGAGUCAGAUCCAGAUCCAGAUCCAGAUCCAAACAAAGAAAAGAUGAUCCAGGGUCUAACCAGCACGUGGGUGAGCAGCAGCCCAGUGGUGAGCAACUGAAACAAAAGGACGCACCCCCUGAGAGUCAAGAUACUCUACCUGAUCAAGGGAAGGAAGUUGAAGGAGGACCUGUGGCUCAAGGAUUGGACCUGGAAGCUGAUCUCCAGGAGCUGCC